rnacentral:rRNA from 1 species
CCCUUAGAUGUCCUGGGCCGCACGCGCGCUCCACUGACAUGUUCAACAAGCCUCCUAGUUCGACAGGAUUUGGGAAAUCUUUGAACGCAUGUCGUGAUAGGGAUAGAUCAUUGCAAUUAUUGAUCUUGAACGAGGAAUUCCUAGUAAACGCGAGUCAUCAGCUCGCAUUGAUUACGUCCCUGCCCUUUGUACACACCGCCCGUCGCACCUACCGAUUGAAUGUUUCGGUGAAGAUUCCGGAUAGGACUUUUUUGAUUUAUUUCAAUUUUGUCUUAAAAGCUAUCUAAACCUCAACAUUUAGAGGAAGGUGAAGUCGUAACA